rnacentral:rRNA from 1 species
AGACAUUUGGUGUCUAUGCUUGGCUGAGGAGCCAAUGGGACAAAGCUGCUGUCUGUGGGAUGGUGACUGAAUGCCGCUAAGUCAGAGUCCUGCCC